GGGGGCGGUUUCAUAGGGGCGGUUAUAUGAAAAGCCCCUAUGAUUUAUAAUUUAAAAACUGGACCAUUCUGUUGGGGCGGAAUUCGAAUUCACCGCUAUUGCUGUGUUCUAUAGGGGCGGGUGUAUAAAUCUAGGGGCGGUUUGUAAAAUAAGAUCUAACCCAAACGAAUCAAAUGUUUUCCCCCUCUUCUUCUCGUCGGCCUCUCAUCCUCUCAACUCAAACACGGUAGCAAUGGUGACCUAGCAGCUGAUUCACUUCACUCUAAUGGCGAAUCUAUUCACUCACUUCACUCAAAUGGCGAAUCUGAUUCACUUCACUCCAUUAGCAGCUGAAUUGCUCACUUCACUUAGGUUUUAGGUUUCUGAUUUGUUCACUUCACUCCAUUAGCAGCUGAAUUGCUCUCUCUUAGGAAUCUUCGGCUUCUCAUCCUCGCGAACACUAGCAGCAGCGAAUCUCAUAUCAAUGAGAGGUUUUCAAGAGUGGGCCACUGUUCAUACUCUUCAACUAGCUCCUUCCGUAGGUUAAGACAUCUUGCAGGGACCAAAUAUUUUCAGACUCUCCUCUCUUUUUCUUAGUCGGUUUUCUCAACUAAUUCAGAAAUUAAAUUUCACGGCUGCUAGUGUCACCACAAUUGGAUGUUCCCUUGGAGAUAAAGCUAAGCAGCUGCAGGCAGAACGCAGUGAAGGUUCUAGUACGAAUUUAGCUAAAGUGAAUGAAGAGAUCUUUCAAGAGCUAAUGGGUGCAGAGCAUAAUGGGAGAGUACGUGGUUUGGGUUCUGGAGUCACUCCUACAAGGUAUUUUGGAUCGACUAGGUAUGAUAUUGGAGGAAGAUGCCAUAACACUACAAAUGUAUGUCAGUCAGAAGAGGUUAAAGAUCUUAAGGAACAACUAUAUAGUAUGUCUAAAACCGUGGAUGCUUUAAAAGCGUUUAUCAACAAGCAAUUUCCAGGACAAUGGACAUCUACAGGAGUUGAUAAUCAUCCGGAUGGUCAUUCUUCAAGUUAAUCAGUUUGGAAUUCAACUCAGUUUAGCAACAUUCAGCAGGCACACCAUUGUUUGCAGUGUGAUUAUCUAGGACAAUUUUUGUUGAUUAUCUUAAUACUUUGUUAUUAGUUGUGUUAUUCAGAUAUUGAUUAUAAACACUUUUAUUAGAAUCAAUUUUGGGUCUAAAUAGAAAUAUUUGCAAAUGGUUAUGAUCAGUAAAGAAAUUGUUUUGGUA